rnacentral:tRNA from 1 species
CGGGGAGUAGCGCAGUUUGGUAGCGCACCUGCUUUGGGAGCAGGGGGUCGGGGGUUCAAGUCCCCCCUCCCCGA